GUUUAUUUAACAAAUUACUUCAAUUAACUGAACCUUAUUUAACAAAAAAUAGCUAUCGAGCAUUUCCUGCAGAACAGAGAUUGAUAAUAGUAUUAAGAUAUCUUGCCACUGGAGAUCUUCCUUUGUCUAUCGCUCUAUCAUUUCGAAUUGGUGAAUCAACAAUGCGUAUGUUAAUUAAAGAAGUAUGUCAGAUAUUAAUAAAUGUAUUACAACCACUGUA